CGCGGGGUGGAGCAGUCUGGAAGCUCGUCGGGCUCAUAACCCGAAGGUCAUAGGUUCAAAUCCUAUCCCCGCUACUA
rnacentral:tRNA from 1 species